rnacentral:rRNA from 1 species
CCUACGGGUGGCAGCAGUGAGGAAUAGUGGUCAAUGGACGCAAGUCUGAACCAGCCAAGCCGCGUGCAGGAAGAAGGCUCUAUGAGUUGUAAACUGCUUUUGUAAGAGGGUAAAGGGAGAGACGUGUACCGGUCUGAAUGUACCGUACGAAUAAGGAUCGGCUAACUCCGUGCCAGCAGCCGCGGUAAUACGGAGGAUUCAAGCGUUAUCCGGAUUUAUUGGGUUUAAAGGGUGCGUAGGCGGUCGUUUAAGUUAGCGGUGAAAUCCCGUGGCUCAACUUCGGAAUUGCCUCUGAUACUGUUAGGCUAGAGAGUAGUUGAUGUAGGCGGAAUGUAUGGUGUAGCGGUGAAAUGCUUAGAGAUCAUACAGAACCCCGAUUGCGAAGGCAGCUUACCACGCUACUUCUGACGUUGAUGCACGAAAGCGUGGGGAGCAAACAGGAUUAGAUACCCGAGUAGUC